CAAAAGGCCAGAACUAGGUUAAAAAGUUGACACACAGGAUUUGGCAGCUGGGACUCACUGAGAACCUGGGGUUCCUCUUCCUCAUCCAGUCCCCACUUCAUUUCCUCCCCCCUUUCUUCUACAUGCAUUGUCAGAUGUAGCUCAAGCUGGCCUCAAACUCGUGAUCGACCUGCUCCACUUCCUCAGUCAAAGCGCAGGAGCCUUAGGUGGGCCGCACCACUGUCUUCUCAGUUCUUGCAGCUGCUGAGAGGUAAAUGUGACCAUCCAACGAGUGUUGACUCUGUGCCUUUCCAGAAGCAGGAAGCCUUCAAGGAAACAUAGGAAAUCCUCAGUGAUUGAAGUCCUGAGUGACUGCAUCACAGACAUGGGCGCAGCCACGACAAGGACCAAGGCAUGGGACCCAUGGAAAAGAGCAACAGUCUUCUUUAGACCAGGUCCCAUCGGGAGCGGACUCUUGGGGGUUUCCACAGUGACAGUAAACAAGCCUCAACAGCCUCAGCUACAACAGCCAAGUUCCUCCUCUGGGUGCUCUGAGAGCGGGCGAGGUUCCGGCUGUGAGUGGGAGCAUGGAGGAGACAAGGAGCCCGAGGCUGCAUCUUCCAGUGGCACAGCGGAAGGAAACACCUCUCCAGGCAGCCUGUCCCAACACUUGCCGGGCUCGUCUUUCUUUCCUGCCUCCAAAGGAUACUCUUUGUUGCCUGGUAUCCAGGAUCUUUGAAACAUUUUUUAUUUUUUUUAUUUUUGCCAGUUUGUAAAAAUUAUUUCAGAGGGGAAGGUUAAUGAGGUGGCUGAUGGUCAACCCACAUUUUGCAGAAGUGGAAAACAGAACAUCAAGAGUUCAUUUCAUCUUUAUGUAAAUUCUGUGUAGGAAAGUUAAAGAAAUGAAAGCCAAGCAUGGUGGCUCAGGCCUUUAAUCCAUACCCACUCCAAGGUUACACCCACUCCAACAGAGUCACACCUCAACAGUCCCACUCCCUGUGAGAUUCUGUGGGCAAUUACACUAAAACUGCCACAGAUGCUCUUUACUUUUUUCACUUCUAAUUCCCUCAGUAUGUAUGUAUGUGUCUUGUUACUUUUCUGUUGCUGUGAAGAAAGUGUGAAGGCAACUUAAAGAAGAAAAAGGGGUUUACAGUUAACACAGAGAGAGAGAUGACUAGGAAUGGUGUGGCCUUUUGAAGCCUCAAAGCCCAUCCCCAGUGACACAGCUCCUCCAACAAGGCCACACCCCAAAAUCCUUCCCAAACAGUUCUAUCAACUGGGGACCAAGUAUUCAAAUAUAUGAGCCUAUAUGUUGGACCAAAAAAAGGCUCCAAUUCGAGGUCCAUGUAACCUCCUGAGCCUGACUUGAGUUUAAGGCUCCAAUGUGAGGCCCAGUGUAACCGCCUGAGGCGGGCUUGAGUUUGGCGACCUGUCUCUGGCCUGUAAUCUCCAUGUGGGGAUGACUCAGCAAGACUGCCCCCCUGCCUAGCUAUCGGCUAGCUUGGUGGAAUAUUAUUGUUCUUUACUCCCCACAUCACCUUACCCUAUCCUGAUUUCCAUCCCCUACCUUAGCCCUAUAUAAGUUCAUUCUUAUUGGAAUAAAUCGAGAUUCUGCUUCAACAAGUCUCUGGACUCAGUGUGUAUUUUCUCCCUCGUAACAAGUAUGGGGGAGGGUCUGAGUCAUCUGACACUCAUCCGGCUCAGCCCUGGGAAGAGACUGGCUGGACCGCCCUUUCCCCAUCUGUACCUGCUGGAGGAUCAGGGCAUUCUCAUUCAAAUCAUCAUAGUAUUAUAUUUGUAUAUGUAUGUUUAUUAUAACUGGGCAUAGAACACAGGACCUUUCCCAUGCAAUGCAAGUGUCCUAUC
rnacentral:lncRNA from 1 species